GGCGUUCUGCUUCGCUUCUUCGACACGUUCUGCUUCACUUCACUCUGCUUCGCUUCACUCUGCUUCGCUUCUUCUACACGUUCUGCUUCACUUCACUCUGCUUCGCUUCUUCUUCUUCCGUUAAACCUUAUGCUUCACUUCACGCUCAACACAAUCGUUCGUGAGCCAAUUUGCGAUGCAAGCAUUUCGAUAAGUGUUCAAUUUGGGGUUAGUAAUUUCGCAAGAGCUUUUUAAGCUUUCUCUUCUCUACGCUGUUCUUCGAUCGAUUGCUUUCAUUUAAGGUGAGUUUUCGAUUCAUAUCCAUUUCGAUUCCCUAUUUUUGCUUUGUAUAAUAUUUCAUUAUAAUUUUUUUGUUCAAGGCUUUAGGUGGAACAAAUUUUAGGGUUUAGGCUGUGUUCUGUGCUAUGGUUGCUAGGAAACUGUUACCUUUAUAAACUCUUAUUUUUAGUAUGCUAGGAUUCUCUAUUCGAUUGAUUCAAAUGCAAUAUCUGAUAAGAUAUUGAGAAUAUGUGUAUUUAAUUAUACUUUCGGGAGUCAUGCCCCUUUUUUUCGAUAAGCUAAGUCGAUCCAAAUAUACAUGUUAGCUUUGACUUCUUUAACGUGGUCAUGUCUAGAAAAUCCUGCUAUAAGGAUGAUGAUAACGAUGACUUCUCAUCUCGAAGCAAAGGACUAAAGCAAAAAGACUUUUUUUUUUUAUUUUUUAUUUUAUUUUAUUUUUUUUUUUUCCAUUUCAAUCAAUUAAUACUGUGUUUGCUACUCUGCAUAUAGUGCAAUUGAUGUUAAAAGUAGGAAGAAUUUUUCCUGUAACCCCUUACCAAUAAAUACUCUCUUAGUUACAUAUCAUUUUCUAUUACAAACGAUGUAAUAAUUUCAAUAAAAUUAUACAGGUGAAUGGCUGAAAGGUCGAAAGGCAUUCAAAACUCACCAUUAUAUUUUGAAAGAACUUUUUUUUAGUGAAGUGAAAAACAUUAUUUUCUUAGACUUUUAUACUUUGUUCUCAGAUAACAUUUGGAUUUUCUGCUAAUAUUCCAACCACAUUUCCAUAAACUUAAAUGAAUAUCUUGUUUAAAAAUAUGCUACUGGCUAGUAUGCCACAUAAAUGCUAAUAGGAGGCAGUGUUUUGAGAGGGGGAAAGGAGAGAGUACCAUUUUAAGUGAAGCAAAAUUUCAUAGAUUCUAAUUAUUAAUAUUAGUCAGGUUACUCAGGUAUAAAGAUCAUCUGUACUGCUUUCUUAACUACGCACUGAAUUAGGUAUAAACCUUAGCAUUUAGUUGUUGUACCAAGACUUUCACAAUUUUAAUUCCAUCAUCAAUUAUUUCUGAACAACUAUACAUAUAUGGAUAAACAGAUUCUAGGAUGCACUAGUUUAGUAUUUUUUUGUCUCUACUUAAAUGACCAAAAAAUGACGUGAUUAUCAAGAUCUGUUACAGCACAAUCUGUCAUUGGCCACUGUACCAGCUCCCAACUCUUGAAAUGUAUUCACAGGUUCUGGUCACCCUUGUAGUGACCUCAUCAAGAGAUCCAGGCAUAGUCCCUCGUAAUGCUCAUCCUCCGGAGCUAGAUGAUUAUUACUGGACUGACAGCAUCAAUGGAACAAAUCCAUUGUCACGCUUACCACGAACAAAGGAUGUAAUUGUCAAUGGUAUAAUAGUGAAAACCAAAUAUUGGUGCCUCGUUGUAUUUGUUUGAAAACAGAAAGGCUUACUAAUCUUGUACCAAAAAAAUAUGUGAACACAUAAUUACAAUUGAAUGAUAAUUUCAGUGGCAAAGGCAAUAAAUGAUUUAUUUCAAGUAAUUUAUAAAAUAAUGAAAAUUUAAUUAAAUACUUCCAAUCCAUAUCAGCUCAUGGUCAUGUACACCAAUGAAGCUAUAAGGAUGAGAUUUUUCUAUAUAAAAAUCUUUCAAAAAAUCUUAUAUAGGGUUCUUGAUUGAUUUUUUAAAAAUUAAAUUGGUAAAAAUGAAAAUUUAGCUGCGUCUGUGCGUCGAAGCCUUACUGAUUAUACUUUGAUGAGAAAGUUUCUUGGGAAUGAAACCAUGCUUUGUGCAGUCUAGGUUCUUGCAAAUUCUGAAUAUUUAUAGUGGAGAGAUAUCAAUUUGUUUUAUUAGUAGGAAAGAUUACAAUGGCAAAACAAUGAUCAAACCUAAGUUUUUGUGUAUCCUCCCAAAAAAAAAAAAACCUAGGCUAACCCUAGUGGUUUCAUUUAUGUUGUUGUAUUGUGAACUCCUUGUUAUGAAAACUCUUGGCAUUUGUUCAGGUUCUCUAAUUUAACUGGGACUGACUAUAGUGAAAGGGCAAUCAGCCUUGCCCAAAGCCUUGCUAAUCGGGAUUGAUUUUCCAACAUCAAAUUUAUGGUCGAUGAUGUCCUCGAGACAAAGUUGGGACAAGAGUUUCAACUUGUUAUGGAUAAAGGAACGCUAGAUGAUUGCAUCCUGAUGGUCCUGUCAAGAGAUUGGUUGCUCCUGGUGGAAUACUUGUAAGCACUUCUAAAUUUAUUCCAAGUUCUAGGCGUUUGUGGGUCGUGGCAUGAACUGUGCAUGCCUAUUACUUAGUGGGAUUCUUUUAUUCAUUAAAAAAGAAGUCAUUAUUAUUUUGAUCUUGA